rnacentral:rRNA from 1 species
GACGAACGCUGGCGGCGUGCCUAAUACAUGCAAGUCGAACGCAUUUUCUUUCACCGUAGCUUGCUCCACCGAAAGAAAAUGAGUGGCGAACGGGUGAGUAACACGUGGGUAACCUGCCCAUCAGCGGGGGAUAACACUUGGAAACAGGUGCUAAUACCGCAUAAUUCCAUUUACUGCAUGGUAGAUGGAUGAAAGGCGCUUUUGCGUCACUUGUGGAUGGACGUGCGGUGUAUUAGCUAGCUGGUGGGGUAACGGCCUACCAAGGCUGCGAGUGGUAGCCGGCCUGAGAGGUGGACAGGCCACAGAGGGACUGAGAUGCGGCGCAGACUCAUAUGGGGGAGAGGAGUGGGGAAUAUUACACGAUGGGCGGAAACAUAAUGCAGCAACGACGGGUGAUGGAUGACGGCCGUAGGGUUUUAAACCGAUUUAGAAUGUAACGAAGCGUGCGUGACGGUAAUGUGUAAAGAAGCCCCGGCUAACUACGUG